AAAACACGGUCUCAGUUCAGAUUGCAGGCUGCAACUCGCCUGCAUGAAGUUGGAAUUGCUAGUAAUCGCGAAUCAGAAUGUCGCGGUGAAUACGUUCCCGGGCCUUGUACACACCGCCCGUCACACCAUGAGAGUCGAUAACACCCGAAGCCUGUGAGCUAACCGUAAGGAGGCAGCAGUCGAAGGUGGGGGUUGAUGAUUGGGGUGAAGUCGUAACAAGGUAAC
rnacentral:rRNA from 1 species